UUCCAGUGUAUUUGUUCUGAGAAAAUAGUGACCAUGUAAAUAAAAAGCAGCACUACCCAGCAGAUAUUAAUGGUGAUUUAUGUGCCAGCUGGGAUACUGUUGCAGCAUUUGUGAUAGCACUGAAACCAAAAGAAAACCUUGGGCAACAACACUGAAAACACCUCAGGACCAGUGAUGAUGGGAACAGGACACGCUGCCAACUGUGCCUAAGAGUCAGAGGCAGGAAGCUGUUCCUUACCUGGAACCUUGUCACCUGGGAAGUAGAAGGACAUGUUGGUGUGGACAGUGACGUAGUUGCUGUUGGGGCUGUGCAGCUGCACUCUGAGGUGCCUGGGCAUCAUGUCGGCGCAGGCAGAAAGGCUCGCGCCGUGCGAGAAGGCGGCCACGC